rnacentral:rRNA from 1 species
ACUCCUACGGGAGGCAGCAGUGGGGAAUAUUGCACAAUGGGGAAACCCUGAUGCAGCCAUGCCGCGUGUGUGAAGAAGGCCUUCGGUUGUAAAGCACUUUCAGUAGGGAGGAAGGUAGUGUAGUUAACACCUGCACUAUUUGACGUUACCUACAGAAGAAGCACCGGCUAACUCCGUGCCAGCAGCCGCGGUAAUACGGAGGGGUGCGAGCGUUAAUCGGAAUUACUGGGCGUAAAGCGCAUGCAGGCGGCCUGUUAAGUCAGAUGUGAAAGCCCGGGGGCUUAACCUCGGAAUUGCAUUUGAAACUGGCAGGCUAGAGUCUUGUAGAGGGGGUAGAAUUUCAGGUGUAGCGGUGAAAUGCGUAGAGAUCUGAAGGAAUACCAGUGGCGAAGGCGGCCCCCUGGACAAAGACUGACGCUCAGAUGCGAAAGCGU